rnacentral:lncRNA from 1 species
UUUUUUUUUUUUUUUUUUUUUCAUCUGCAAAAUGGAACAUGGCUACUAUGGUCCGUCAGCUUUUGGCUCCUGGAAUAAAACUAGUGUUGGGUUAGGCUGACAGCAAAAGUUAAAAACACUGUAUAGUUUUAAAAGCAAAUUAGACAAGGGUUGUGGGGGUGGAGACGAUGUGGCUGGUCGGUAACUGAGAUUCUCCAACCCCCUGCCCCAUAAUGCACCAGAUGCCAGAGCUGUGUACCCAGGAACUCAACUAAAGUCUUUUAGGGGAAAUAUUGUCACCCUGAGUGGGUGGGAAAGAGGGGCUUCUAUGUUGGAGAAGCAAGUUAGGGAUGGGUUAUGGAGGAAGGGCCUGGAAUAGAAUGUAAAAAAGUUCAGGGGAUGUAGUGUAUUUAGCAGGAACAGUCAGGAAAAAACCAGGGCCAGGAGGCCCUAUCUGGGGUGCUUUGCUGGAAGUCUUGUAUCAGCUUGGGUCUGGCCAUGUGAGGAAGAGAGAUGGUAACUCAGCUGUAGUCGGGAAGCCCAGGAUCUAUCUAGCUCACUCUGCGCUUAAUGACACGUGUGUGCUACCAUCCACUCUACCUUGGACAUCUUGGUUUUGACCAGUAUAAAUUCAAGUGGGCUUGGGGUGCCGCCUCUCUGAAGGAAUGGCAACCCUGGGAGCACCUGGCACAGGAGACCUGUUUCUAGGGCCACCCCAAACCUCAGUUCUUCAGAAGGAAUCAUUUCCUAUCUGUGGGUGCCAGUGUGUGGUUGUUGCUUUUGUGGGAAUCUGAGGAAGCAAUGAGAUUGUGCAGGAGAGAACAGAGCUCCAAACUCAGCUCACAGUGAGGUGUAAAAAUGGACAGAUAGGGCCUGUGAGGUUCCAGGCACCAGGGGUGGACUGUAGGGCUUGAAUGAGGGUCCUUCCAUUCUGUGAGGGUCCUGUAGUCACAUGGAGGCAUAGGUGCAGCUAGCCACAGGCAGCACUGAGUGGACAGCCACUCAAAAGCUGGAGACUUUUCUUCCCUGCUUUCUUCAUGCUCAAACUUUUGCUCUGUUUGUUUCU